UUUAAAAUCAAUGUUUCUAGUGUAACUUAAAACCAGUAUUGCUCUAGCGUUUUAUGAACUUCACGUCUCCCUGUAACUGACCUGUGGUGUGUAACAAUGCAGCACAGAGGAGCUACUCCCUUUUAGUUCCAUCUCGAAGGAAGAUCAGUACAUUACCACUUCCCCUAUGGCAGGAUCCACAACAUCCUGCCGCACCGACAAAGAACCCCCUUUAUCAGUAUGCAAACAAGUUGUGUUCCAAGUUCCAAGCUGGAAUUCAGAAUUCGAUUUUUCCACAGCAACCAUCCCAGACGUGCUAGGUUCCCAGGACAGCCCACACAGCCUGCAUGCUCAGAAUGCUGUGAAACCUUCUUACGGGGACAUGCAUCUCAGGUCAUCUCAGCAGUACAGUGUUUCAGAAGUUACAGAAGAUGAACAAUAUAACACGGGUUGUACAUUAGUUGAUUUUGUCCAACUGUAGACCAAUCCAAGUAUUCUCCACAUGUUUAAGGACUGUGUAAAGAACUAGACCAGAGCAUUUCAGCACAGAGCUCUUGCGGCUGCCUAUGACUACAUCAUACACAAGUUCCCCCAUAACCCAUCUUUGGCUGCCAAUCUAAAGAGGUCUGUCUUUGGUGUGAGCUUGUCCUUGGCUCUACCAUCAGUGUCCCAGGGAAAGACCUUCUGAAUUCUUGCUUUUCACUCUCCCAUCCAGCAGCAGCAGACGCCGGAAGUUCUCUGUGUACUGUUUUUAUGUCAGAAUCGUGGCAGACAAACCUGGAAAAACGCUCAUGAGAUCCUAAAGAGAAAGAAAUCUAUUCUUCAGUAUAUGACUGCUGUUGGGGCUGGAGGAAAGCUACGGUAUUAAAAGGAAGUGAGAACCCAAGCCAGACACCAGCAAGAGUCUACAGAGAGAAUGGCAUGGAUUGUAAACGUCAAAGGCCCUUUAUCAUAUCUAACACAGCAUGGGAGAGAGGCAUAGAGUGCAUCCAAAUAAACACUGUUUGCAUCCAUGAGGCCUUCAGAGAUGAAGAGCACUCCCUCCUCAGACCAUAUCACAUGCUCAAGUUCAAAUCCCAAGUGUGGGCAGUAGGACACAUGUACACAUAACUACUUUAUGUAUUUUAAAACUAUUUAUUCUUUGUGUUUUUUCACAUCAUGAAUCUCGAUCUCAUUCAUUUCCUGUCCCCUCAUAUCCAUCCUUUGCUCUUGCAACCCCCCCCCAGAAAAAAAAAUAAAAUUUAAGAGAAAAAAGAAAAAAGGGGG